CUCUGCCGCCCGCCGAACCCGACCCCGGGAAAUCCUCCUAGCCGCCGCCUCCCAGCGCCGGGUCUCCCCGAGCGUGUGCUCUCGGCUGCGAGGCCCUGCAUGCGCAGUGUCUGGGUUCGCGGCGUCAAGCGGAGCCUCGGUCCAGCCUGGGCAGCCGAGAGCGCGGGGACUGCUGAACGCGGUCCGCUCCCCGCCAGCCGUUCGGGACCCCAGCCUGGGGGAAAGCCGACAGCGUCCCUCUCCGCGCAAACUCCACGCGGCAGCCUGGACUGGGAUGUGGGGCCAGGGGGCUGAAUAAUUAACAACCAGGAGAAGCCGGGGAGAGCGGGAAGCCUGGCAAGCCAGGGAAAGGGAAGAUGAGACAGAGAGACAUAGAGAGACAGGGACAGAGGGAGACAGAGAGGGGGCUAAGAGCGACGCGGGCGAGAGAGGAAGAAAGGCUGGGGAGAAGGAAAAAUGAGAUAAAUAAAGGAAAAAAGAGAAGCGAAGGGCGGUGGGAGAGGCAGCCGGGCCUCUCUGGGAGCUUAGCCAGAGGCGCCCGUACCCCCCUCCCCUGCGCGUUUGCUGGGAGCCGCUCCCUUUCCCUUUUCUUUCCAAGCUGCCGAAUUCUGUCCCUAGACGCUACGUUCCCAGUAGAGGGUAGGGCCAGGAUCCAAAGAUGCCGACCGUGGCCGUGGCUCUCUGGAAGCAGGCAAAUGGGAUGGAGAAUCUGUGGGCUAUAGAGAAGCUGUGACAUUGUAGGGCACAGAAAAAAGGCCUCCGAGAAGGGUCCAGCCAGCAGACCCCCACCCCCCAACCCCCGGAUCCAGGGCCGCUUCUGGAAUCACAUUAGGGAGAGGCUGGCCUGGUUCAGAGCUCGCCCAUCCUAAACAAGAUAAAUAAAUAAUUCCCCGCUGGCCUCAGUGUGGGAGGAAUCAAAGAACCAGAACAAAUACCUCCCACAGCCUCCCUGCCCACCCUCCACCCCAUCCCCGGACAGGUGGGGAAAGGGCUGCUAUGACCAGCUUUGUGGCCUUGGUCAAGUCACUUCCUCCAUCCCUUUUUGCCUUUAUAAACGGAGAGCCUUGGGCUGGAAGCCAUGGAAGUCGCUCCAGUGGAAAGACGGUCAGAGCUGGGAAUGAAUGGGACGUAGGAGUCACUCCAAAUGAGACCAACCCAGAUUUGGUGGGUCAGUUAAGCUCAUCCCAGAACAUUUUGGACCUCGUAGGUAAACAUAUUGUGUAUUAAUGCGUGGCUGGGUGUGGGCCAAUCUGAAAGAAAGCAAUCGGCUGAGUGGGUGGGAGGCGAGGAGUGGGCUGCUUCUGUGAGAGAAGCCCAGGAGAACAGGGAGCAAGAGGGCUUCCCAGGAGGGUCCCCGACAUGAGAUCAAUGACCAGACAGGGUGCUGCGGCAGAAGAGGAUGGCAUAAAGGCCAGACAGCUUGGUGGAGGGUGCUGGUGCUGGGAAGAGCACAGUUUGAGGCUGGCCGUGUGACUCCAAGCCAAUUAAACUCUCCGACCUCCUUCUGAACAGGCAAAAUGGAGGAGCGGAAACCAAUUUCCCUGGGUUGUGGUAAUAAGAACUGAAUAAAUUAAUAUACCUGCUUGGCUCUUCAUGGAUAAGAAAUCGGUGUGUGUGUGUGUGUGUGUGUGUGUGUGUGUGUGUGUGUAUUUCCAGUUCAGGAAUGUCACGUUCAUAUUGUUAUAUCUUCUUGUUUGGGGUGGUGCUGAGUGGAGGACGUGUGAGGAAUGGCUGUAUUUUGCUGCCUGUCACUCUUGCCUUCCUGUUUUAACCAGUCUCUGAAUCCCUGUGUCAGACUCAAAUUAUUGCAGAUAAUUAAAUAUAUAAUAUGAAGCGUUGCUCUUUUUAAAAAGACACUGAAAUAAAAUAAAACAUCCCUCAAUUCAUUGAAAUAGCCGCAAUAAAACACUGUGGAAGUCAAAUGUUUCCUGGAGCCUCCACCAGUUACCUGCUGCAUCUUUUACAGUUAAAGUUAACACACUCAAAAGGGAUUGUAUUUCUAUCUGGAAUUGAGUAAUUGGUACUGCCUUUCUGUCUGUCCAACCCCACCCCCACUUUCCUUAUUUCUGUGCUUUAUUUUCAGAGAAUUAAGGAGAUUCUAUGUAUGGAAAAUGCA
rnacentral:lncRNA from 1 species